GUCUGAUCCGCCCACGAUACAGUUAAUUAACUGGGGGAUUGUUAUCGAUGGCGAAUGAUGAUGAUAAGUGAGGAAAUUUGCCACGACGACCGAUGCCGUCUCCAUAUUCGACAAAGGAUAUAGUAUCGUCAUUAGCACACAAGAGUAGAUUUAUCUGUUACGAAAUUUGCGAAAGAAAUCUUCCAUCGUUGUUGAUGUUGCGGAUUAACUUGUUUUUGGAGAGAAUAAAUGGAUCGUUGAUCGGAUUUUCCUGCUUUGGCAUCUUCGUUGUGACUUACUCCACUUUUUACACCAUUGCCAGUGUUGUCACAUCAUACUUCCUAAUGUAUUUGCAGUUCAUUAGAAACCGUAAUGGUUGAUUUGGUGUUUUUCAGCGUUUAGGAUAUUGCAUAAAAACAGUUUCAUAAAUCGAGAUUGAACUGGAACAACAAUGACCAGCCUUUAUUCGAGACAUGCCACAAAAUAUUUGGUAAACGUACGGGAGUUACCAUUGAAGGAAAUUAUUUCGCUUAAACGAAUUGGCGCCUAUCUAUAUUAAAUCCGAUAUGCCAGUUAUAGCCUUCAUCCGACACAACACGCAUAAUUAUUAUUUGUAUCACCGAUUUCGUAGAAACAUGUUCUUCUGAUCCGUGACACGGGCCCGGGUCCUCCAGAGUGAAAAGUCGAAGCGUUUCGUUCUGGAGGAUUCGGGUUCGGGUCUCGGGUCCCACCUCUUGAAAAUGUCAUGGUGUUCGGGCCCGGCCCGUCGAUCCCCAUUCGAUCCA
rnacentral:lncRNA from 1 species